rnacentral:lncRNA from 1 species
UCUGAGUUAUUUCCUUAAGAUUGUUAUUUCGUAAUGUGUUCGGGUACACAGAAUCUGUAUAUGUGCAACAACAACUUCAACUUAGUUCAAUGUUUAAAAACAAGAACACUAUGAAGUACAGAAAAUACCCUCAACCCAAGAUCAAAGUUGUCUUUACAAGAGGUGUAUUUUAUUUUCAGAAAUUAAGAUGAAACAGAAAUGCCCAAGUCCUCCGAAUACAUGGAGUGUCUUUAAGGAAAUAAUUCCCCUCACUGUACCCGAGGUUGCGGAAUUUUCCUCUCAGGAUAAAAUGGUCUUCAAUCCAAUUAUAGCGGUACCUCAAAUAAUUGGAUUCCACGAACGCACUCAACGAUUUGAAUGAUCACACAGAAUAUUUUUAAGAGAAGAAGAGUUUUGUAUUCUGAAAUUUUCGUAUUCUAAACCUGUGGAUCAAAGUAGAUUUAUAUAGCCACAACAUGCCUCUUCUGAAAAGUGGCAAUGGUUCACUUUAGAGGUGUGCCUUUUCUGAAAAUUCAGAACAGACAUACCAUUUCACGUGAAACAACAUCCCUUUCGAGACAACACUUUGUUUCUGCAUGGCAUUUCAAAACUGUCAGAUAAACUUUGUCCAAAAAUAUAAAUCUCAUCAAUUGUUUGUCGAAUCUGAAUCUGAAUCCAAGCAAGCGACAACAACGAUAACACAAGGAAUUUCUUAUUUCUUGCCUCACUUAGCAUGUAGAGUAAGUGCUUUCUAUUAAAAGCACUCCAUAGUUCCCUUCUCCCACCAAUGUGGGAGAAUUAGUAAACUUUUCAAUUUGGGAGUACACCUUCUAAAUUGAUGUCUCCUUCCUUCCUCCAUUUUCUCUCCAUUUUCCAUUCACACUUCAUCCAUACAUAUUGAACCCAACAGUGCAGCCCAAUUCAUUACAUCCCAUGAAUCAUCGUAACAUGCUGGAAUUGGAUGCUCUGGUGCUAAUCUGUAAUUAAUUCAUACGACGAAUACAUUAGCCUGAGCUGUUAGCAUGUGGAGGUAACCAUCAUAACUGGGAGAAAAUGCCGAUUCUAUGCAAAAGCCUCCCCCGUGGAUGUAAAAUAGAAGAGGAGAUUUCUGAUUUUUUCGACUGAUUUUGGGCAGGUAAAGUCGGGCUGAUACAUUUUUUGAGGCAAAAUUGUAACGUCUUUGGAUUGAACUCCUGUUUUGGGAUUGUUUGAUGGAGGGACAAACUUGAUCUCUUCAUACCUAUGAACAGUUCCAUUAGCAUAAACUUGUAAAAAUGGAUACAAAUUCAGGGCUUUUCCUGCAAAGGUGGAAUUCAUACAUAGGCAGAUAGUGAUUAGAAAUAGUAAAGGAAAAUGAAGAUGAGGGGGAAAAUGUAGUGCCAUUAUUGUUGAAUUAUUGUAGCUAGUGAAUAAAAGAAUGGGACUUAGAUUUUAUAGAAGUUUGUGACUCAAAUGAGAGGAGCAACAGUAAGCAUGUGUGUUGGACAUUAAAGCGUGACAGAUUGAGUGCCGACGUGCCGUGAUAGACUCGCGAGGUGCUUUCAUUGACCUGCACAAAUUACAAGUUACAUUGAAUUUACUGUGUGACAUGCCAUACUGAAUUGGGACCAUUGGAAUAAUAUACUGACAUUGCACCAAAUACAUUAUUGUUAUUGAAAAUGCAGUACAGAAUUGUAGUAGUAAGUAUUAUUACUCUCCGGUUUCAUAUUAUGCAGAGCGAUAUAUUUUAAGUGGAGUUGUUUAAAAAUCUAUGACAUCAAUUAGAUUAUGACAUUUUUGUGACCAUAUGAAGUAAUUUCUAGGAUAUUCUCUUAUCACCAUUGAUGUCUACGUCCAACUUAUUGACACGAAACCUAAAAUUCAAAGUGGUCCUCACAGAAAAAAUCAUUUCUACCUAGUCAUGUCUAAAGUUUUUUUCUUCUCUCUUAGACUAUUUUUUCUAUCAUACACAUCACAUAAUAGUAUCUCAAUUUUGUUUGCUUCUUUUUUUUUUCCUUUUUCUAUCUUAGACUACUCUUUCUUCCCAAUACAUCAUACAUAGUCUUUUGUUUUUCUCCACUCCCUUAGACUAUUCUUUCUAUCUGACACAUGACUAUGAACUCCAAAUCUGAAGAAAAAUUGGUAAGCCUUGCGGCAAUAUUUUAUUGUAGUGGUUCUCUUUCAAAUACUAAUUAAUCAACAGUUUACGUUAAUUAUUCAACUAGUCUGCUUGAACUCUGAAUGGAAAGGGAGAAAAAGAGAAGGAAGGAUAAAAAAGUAUGGAAAGGUUUAUAAUCAAGGAGAUUAAAAUCCCUUCAACAGUAUACAAUUCCUAUUAUAACCUCGAUGAAAUAUGAUUGAUGGGGUUGGGAAUAAUUUUCCCUCUAAUCCCAAGUUAAUAUAUUUUCGAGUAUUGUCAAUAAUCAAGAUCUACAUUGUCAAGCUCACGAAGAGAAAACAUUCAAUAUCAUAUAAGAUUGCAAAACAUGUGCUUGGAGCCUGGAAGUAAAUGAAGUUACUAGUUAUAUACUAGAGGAAAGCAAUCUUGUUUUACUAUGUUUUGCCUGAGUUGAAACUGGAUGUCCUUAUCUUAGUAAAAUAAGUUUGAUUGCAGUUACUUGUUUUACUAUGUUUUGCGUGAGUUGGCUAUUUAUUUGAGUUAUUUAUCUCUACUUAUCUUAGAUGUUGAAACUGGAUGUCCUUCACUUAGUUGUCUCUAGACUGCUGUUGAGUUGAUUUUACUGUUUAUUCUUGGAAAGUUCAAAGGUGAGGGGUGUAGAGUUUCGUGCCAACUGUCUCAUCAAGUGGUGUGGAAAGGGUAAUCUGUUUGGUAUCUGAUCAGUUCUACAUCUGUAGAUGCUGAUCAAUCCUUUUCAUUUUUCGAUUAAAAAUGUAGUGCUAGAUGUUAGAUGGUGUAUGAAGGGAUUGCUUGGUUUAGGACUUCACCGCAUUCUCAAAGAAAAUUACAGUUGAACACAAGGAAACGUACUUCUACAUGUGGAAUGAGUGAUGUACCAUAAAAUGGUUGUCUCCAUAAUUUUCUCUCUUUGAACAAUAAGUAAAUGAACACAAUUAUUUGAGCUCACAAGUAAUUUUAUAAGUACAAAGGAUGGAACAACAAAUUAUGAAUAUUUUUUCUUUUAUUUUAAUUUUAUAGAAAUUUAUAAGUAAAAAGGUUUAUGCUCUACAAGUAAACAACCAGGUUAUAAAAAAGAGAAGUCUUUGUUAAGCAGGAAGAAAUAGUUAACCAAUGAACUAUAACAAGCAAAUUUAAAUAGUGCAAAACGAUUCAGAUUGAUAAGAAAAUAUUGUUAUUUAAGGCAAAGAAGAUUAAAACUUUUGCAGAUUUAAAUGAAUCCUUACUGCAACUGCCCAUUGCUAUCCCUACAUGUUCAACAGCAAAAUUUCCUGCUGCUCAUCUAUACUCACCUAUACUGAAGAUUAACCAAUACAUGACCGUAAACUGCAUUAUUACAUUUCAUGAUACACAAGCAGAGCGCGCAAAUUCAAUUGAACCCUGCUUUUAGCUAGACUUAUGCAUACGCAAUUAGAAAAGCUAAAACAUUUAUAAAUAUAAUCACCGUUAUUCUGAAUUCACUAACUCUAGAUUCUGAAUUGACAUAAUUACCAUGUCUUAUCAUAGAACAACCCAAGAAGUGGACCAGAGUAUUCAUCAAGUCCUUGGCUUUCUCAGAAGUUGGAUUAAAUAAAUGGAAGACAUGUCCCUCCCCUUCUGUUUCUUUUAUCCUCAAUUCACCUUUCCACCCAAUUUUCUUCAUUGUUUCGUAAUAAGUCCAAGCUCUGUCCCUCAAAUAAUCUUUACCAGCAGUAAAAACAUAAAUCUUGGAGCAUUUCAAUUUCGACAGAAUCUUCGGAUGAGCUGCUGGAUUGAAUCUUGGAUCAUCAAUCCCGUUAGUUUUCGGGCAUAAAUACGUCCAUAAGGCAUCAGGCUUACCAUUACCGAAAUAUGGAUCCACUAGUGCCAUCCCCACUGGUGACAGGACAAAAUGACUUUCCUUACUUGCACGAAUCAUGAUGUUGUUAGCAAUAUUAGCUCCAGCGCUAUCACCAGCUAAGAAAACACGAGAAAAAUUGGCAUGUUGUUUAAGCCAGGGCUCUUUCCCUCGUGCAGCCCAAUUCAUUACAUCCCAUGAAUCAUCAUAACAUGCUGGAAUUGGAUGCUCUGGAGCUAGUCUGUAAUUAAUUGAUACGACCAAUACAUUUGCCUGAGCUGUUAGCUUGUGGAGGUAACUAUCAUACAGGGGAGAAAAUGCAGACUGUAUGCAAAAGCCUCCCCCAUGGAUGUAAAAAAGAAGAGGAAAUUUCUGAUUUUUUCUACUGAUUUUGGGCAGGUAAAGUCGUGCUGAUACGUCUUUUUGAGGCAAAAUUGCAACGUCUUUGGAUUGAACUCCUGUCUUGGGAUUGUUUGAUGGAGGGACAAACUUGAUCUCUUCAUACCUAUGAACAGUUCCAUUAGCAUAAACUUGAAAAAAUGGAUACAAAUUCAGAGCUUUUCCCGCAAAGGUGGAAUUCAUACAUAGGCAGAUAGUGAUUAGAAAUAGUAAAGGAAAAUGAAGAUGAGGGGGAAAAUGUAGUGCCAUUAUUGAGUUAAGGUAGGUAGUGAAUAAAUGAAUGGAACGUAG